UACGGAGGGGGCAAGCGUUGUUCGGAAUUACUGGGCGUAAAGGGCGCGCAGGCGGCUGCUCAAGUCAGGCGUGAAAGUCCAGGGCUCAACCCUGGGAUGCCGGUGGAUACUGUCGGGCUCGAGUCCGGAAGAGGCGAGUGGAAUUCCUGGUGUAGCGGUGAAAUGCGCAGAUAUCGAGAGGAACACCUGCGGCGAAGGCGGGUUGCUGGGCCAAUACUGACGCUGAGGAGCGAAAGCGUGGGGAGCGAACAGG
rnacentral:rRNA from 1 species